AUGGCACCGCGGUUACAGAAGUUGUGUUAUAGUUGUGUACCUGUUGCACGAUGAGUUUCUGGUGUGUACCAAUUGUGCCGAUGCAUGUUCGUGCCAUUCUAAUUCACUUCUGCAGUCCCACGUUAUUUACUCAGUGUGGAGUUUGCGUGUGCAGGCACUGUCUGGGUGUGGACACCGACGCUUAGUGUCUAUCAUAGCGGACGUGGUUUCCGUUAGUAUAUUUCUACUCGCCCGCGGACGAAUGCAUUGACUUCUGAGUACUGAUAGUAUACACUGGCAUGUUCCAGUUGCUGGUCCAUAUUUUAAAUGCGUAUAUUCCCGAAGACUGAUUCCUCGAAGAAUAUCGUCUCGUAUAUAAUUACGGCUGCGAGACAUAUUCGAGCUCCGUGCUUCCGAAAGAAACCCAGCUUGCCGGCGCAUACUAAGAACAGAUCAAGCUCCACGGUGAUUCCGCACGCAGUUCUGAGCGAAGAUUGGGGAACAUGAAGAAGUAUCUCUGGAACCUCUCCAGGAACAAACACGUAGAGGCAACCCGUGCAAUAUACAAUAUAACCGUAAAAUGAACACAUGAAAACUGCA